GCCCGCUUGGCUAAGUGGUAUAGCGUGUCACUAGUAAAGAAUGUAUGAAGAAACUUGGGAAAAACAAAUUUCUCACGAUUUUCUUGCAAACUCUGUGCCAUGACAAGAUCAGCGGUUCGAUUCCGCUAGUGGGCA